UACAGAGGGUGCGAGCGUUGUCCGGAAUCACUGGGCGUAAAGGGCGCGUAGGCGGCCUGGUAAGUAGGGGGUGAAAUCUCAUGGCUCAACUGUGAGGCUGCCUUCUAGACUGCCGGGCUUGAGCAUGGUAGAGGCUGGUGGAAUUCCCGGUGUAGCGGUGGAAUGCGUAGAGAUCGGGAAGAACAUCCGUGGCGAAGGCGGCCAGCUGGGCCAGCUGCUGACGCUGAGGCGCGAAAGCGUGGGGAGCAAACAGG
rnacentral:rRNA from 1 species